CUCCGGUGAUNCCUGCCGGACCCGACUGCUAUCAGAGUGGGACUAAGCCAUGCGAGUCAACAUAGCAAUAUGUGGCAUACGGCUCAGUAACACGUAGUCAGCAUGCCCAGGGGACGUGGAUAACCUCGGGAAACUGAGGAUAAACCGCGAUAGGUCAUCACUUCUGGAAUGGGUAAUGACUUAAAUCUAUAUGGCCCCUGGAUUGGACUGCGGCCGAUCAGGCUGUUGGUGAGGUAAUGGCCCACCAAACCUGUAACCGGUACGGGCUCUGAGAGGAGGAGCCCGGAGAUGGGCACUGAGACAAGGGCCCAGGCCCUAUGGGGCGCAGCAGGCGCGAAACCUCUGCAAUAGGCGAAAGCUUGACAGGGUUACUCUGAGUGAUUUCCGUUAAGGAGAUCUUUUGGCACCUCUAAAAAUGGUGCAGAAUAAGGGGUGGGCAAGUCUGGUGUCAGCCGCCGCGGUAAUACCAGCACCCCGAGUGGUCGGGACGUUUAUUGGGCCUAAAGCAUCCGUAGCCGGUUCUACAAGUCUUCCGUUAAAUCCACCUGCUUAACAGAUGGGCUGCGGAAGAUACUAUAGAGCUAGGAGGCGGGAGAGGCAAGCGGUACUCGAUGGGUAGGGGUAAAAUCCGUUGAUCCAUUGAAGACCACCAGUGGCGAAGGCGGCUUGCCAGAACGCGCUCGACGGUGAGGGAUGAAAGCUGGGGGAGCAAACCGGAUUAGAUACCCGGGUAGUCCCAGCUGUAAACGAUGCAGACUCGGUGAUGAGUUGGCUUAUUGCUAACUCAGUGCCGCAGGGAAGCCGUUAAGUUUGCCGCCUGGGGAGUACGGUCGCAAGACUGAAACUUAAAGGAAUGGCGGGGGAGCA
rnacentral:rRNA from 1 species